CAGUGGAGGCGGCGCCAUCUUGGCGGAGCCGUGCCGGGAGCUGCGGCGCUCGCUGAGCGGCGUGUCCGGUGGGUGCGUGGAUGGAUGGCGUGAGGGACAGAGCACGUCUCCCCUGGGUGCGGAGUGUGGCCGAGGGCGCCGCGAAGUUUGCCGGUUCUCGGUUACCCGACCCUCGCGGAACCGCUGCGCGGCCGCUCCGUGUGCCCCGGCCCCGUGUGCCCCGGCCUUCUCGUGUCCCUGGGCUUCCCACCCCACUUCCCUGCUCCCGGUGCUUCCCCCAGCCCUGUCCCGGUGUCGGGAAGCAGACGGGCCUCUCCGCGGGGGCGCAGCAGCGGUGGCUCUGGCGGGCCGCAGCGCGUGUGGCGCGGGGCGCCCUCCCCUCGCCCCGUGCCCCCCGGCCGUGCCCGGCCCUGCCGCCCGCCGCGGGUCUCUCCAGCAGCGCCGGGGCCGGCGGGCCGACUUGCUGGGAAGCGGUUCCGUGCUACAUUCCACUGUGUAGCGGAGCCAGCUGCAGAGCUCACUCAUGUUUUCCUUCCGCACUGUGCAAACUGCUAUUCGCAGCAGCCUGCUUCCUCUAUUGAGGCUUAUUUUGAAGAACAAAAUAAGAAACCUUCCCCUGUUCCGCUGAUUAUUCUGUACUGGUCCAAUUUCGUAGACGAGGUGUUUCUGUGGGUGUUCUUUCUAGCUUGCAGUCUGUGUGUAAUCUUUCAGUGUUAUGAUAAAAAUCCUAGUCUAGUGCAGACUUAGUUUCCUACCGCGUUUAUAAAUUGUGGAUUAUUUUAAUGGCUUUAAUGUUUGGAAUUUCCUGAGACUGUGGAAGAAUAGGUAUUGUACUGUUUUCUAGCCAAUUUUGCUUAUAUAUAAAAUUUCAUAAAACUGUACACUUCUGUGCUUUUAAGCUGUGGCAUGAAGUUAUUUAUUCUCCAAAUCCUUGCUUUCUGAAGUCCUUGUUCAGUUAAUGAAUUGCUCUUACUUUCAUGACAAGUCAAAUCUUUUUGGUUAUGCACUUUAAAUUUGGAUGGCUUGUCUGUGCUUUCUAUCCAUGUGUGAUGAUUUACUAGACAGUCAGUAAGAGCUAUUAUCUGAACUUGCAUUUGUUUAUGGACUUGUUAGAGAUCCCAUUAUGAUCUGGAACCACUGGUCUGGUUUUCACCACUGAAGGUUGUGUAUUGUAUCCCUGGUUCAUCGUGGAGAACUUGCUGUCUAUCACCGAAGAAUUAUGGAGGAGAGCUGUUGUGAAUGAUGUUUAAAAAUUGGGAUAAGAAAGCGGAGUUGUGAAUCCAGAAGUACUACAGAUUAAAUACAUCAUGAAGUAGCAGGGAAGCGGCUUUGCUUUUUCAAGACAUGAAGGUGCUGUAUGAAAAUUCUGCCCUUGAAUUCUCCAUGCUUUUUUGGCACUGUCAUUGCAUCUGUUGAGAAGACACGUUGUAAAGUGUUCUGGGUCUGGCUGGGACAGAGUUAACGUUCUUCACAGCAGCCCAUACAGUUGUUUGGAUUUGUGGCUAAAGGAAUGUUGACAACACGUCGUGUUUUGGCUGUGGCUGAACAGCGCUUGCACAGUAUCAAGGCUUUAUCGAUGUUCCCUACUCUGUUCCUGCAGUGAGUCUGCUCAGAGUAGGUGAGAAGCUGGGAGGGAACAUGGCUGGGACAGCUGACCCAAACUCACCAAAGGGAUAUCUGUGACAUGUAACAUCAUGCUGGGCAACAAAAAUGGAGGUAGAGGAAGAAGUAUUUUAAUGGUUUUGGUUUCUAUCUUGGCUCUCAAGGCAGUUGUUAUUUGGAGGAAGGCUGGACAUCAGUCAGCCUGUGGGCGGUGGUGAGUGAUUUUCUUUGUUUUGUGUUUUUCUUUCCACCAAUGAAACUGUCUUUAUCUUGACCCACAAGUUUUCUUGACUUUGUUCUUUCCCAUCCCACUGAUGGGAGGAGGAGUGAACAAUCAGCUGUGUGGGUGCCUGGCUGCUGGCUGGGGUCGACUCACCUCAAAAGCGCACAGAACAGAUGGUCAUCAGUGAAGUUUGUAAAUGGGCAGUUGUUGUCGGUUUGUUGUGCUUAUGGAGUAUUGGUGCAGAAGUGACAUGGAGUCUGUUAGUGACAGAACUUGGGCUUUGCUCUUGUUUUGCUGUGUUCAGGUGGAGUGGCAGUAAUGGUUAUUGGUUGGUAACUCGUCAUCAGGAUCUAGUGCUUUAUAGAGCAAGGUUUGUAGGAGUGUUUGCAAAUGCUCAGAGCAUUGGGCUGUUGUGUUUGUUUUAAAGGGAUGCAGUCAUUUGCUACAGAGACUUGUGUUUGUUCUGAGAAUAUUGUCCUAUUUAUUGUGUGAUGUUGGAAAAUGUUGAAAAUCAGGGUAUGUUAAGUCAGUGUAUUCAAGGUUUUCUUGUUCUUACGUUUGAAAGGCAGUAGAGUAAGGAUUUAGGGAAAAUACUGAAGUUGGCUUUGUAAAUUCAGGUACAUUCUGAAGUUUCUCCUUGUUGGAUAUUUUUGUUUCAUUUGAUGGGCUUCACUGCGUAUGUUAAGUGCAGUCCUGGACUGGUGAGUAGCAUACUCUUGUGAAGUUUGAAUCCAGGUGGAUUUCAGAAGAAUGGACAUGUCAUGUAAUCCUGAGAUGGACCUAAGCACCUUCCAAGAACCCAGUUGAGAACUGUUCCCUCGAUACACUGUCAGUCUGUUUCAUUGCAACAGUUCAGUGUGGCACAAUUGAUGACCAAGUAAUCUCAUCGUAUUUUCAUCGUUUCCUGAAGUCAACUUAAAUUAUGAAUUUCUUUUGCUUCUAAAAUGGAAACAGAAAGAUAUGGUGCAUGGCAUCUUGGAACAUGGAAGGAGUUCUUCACAUGGGUUCAUACAUGCUUGGCUUUAGCAUUAGCCACUGCUAUGGAUGGGCUGCAGCAGUGUAGCACAGUGUGUAAAGCAAAGUACAGGUAUCAGCCAUUAAUUAUGUUUCGUUUUCUUUCCACAGUUAAGUUGAUUUUACAGAAUUUAUCAGGUCUCCAAAGCAGAAACAGGUGAUUUUUGCUGUGGGUUGAGCUCAGCAUGGCUGUAGUCAUCCGUUUACAGGGGCUUCCUGUUGUUGCGGGUCCUCCAGAUAUUCGUCGUUUCUUCUUGGGAUUGAAUAUUCCCGAUGGAGGUGUGCAUAUUAUUGGAGGAGAGAUUGGGGAGGCUUUUAUUAUAUUUGCCACAGAUGAAGAUGCACGGCGUGCCAUGAGCUGUUCGGGAGGGUUUAUCAAGGACUCGCGCAUAGAGCUCUUUCUCAGCAGCAAGGCAGAGAUGCAGAGUACCAUAGAAAUGAGCCGGAAACGCUUUGACCGUGGGGGACGCGAAACUAUGUCUGGCUCUAGAAGAACAGGUACUAAUGGUUCUAGUGCAUCAAGUAUUGGAGAUAUACCACAUUUAGUUACAGCUUCCCCAAAAGGAAUAAGAAAACCUAGUUACGGGCCACCAAAUCGCCUGGAGGCUGGUUUCCAUACCAACGGUACAAGAUACUGUGAUAUGGGUAUACCUAAGUCAAACUAUCAGUUAAGAAAGGAUUGCCACCCGUUUAACCCGGAUGAUCGUUACCUCUUUCUACGUGGUAUACCUUACUCUGCAACGGAAGUGGAAGUACGUGCUUUCCUUUCGGGGAUUCGCGUGGAUGGAGUGAUUCUGAUAAAGCACCGCAAUGGUUUAAACAAUGGUGAUUGCUUGGUAAGAUGUGCUACACCCGGUGAUGCCUUAGAAGGACUUAAACGUCACAGACAAUACAUGGGUCAGAGGUUUAUAGAAAUCAGUCCAACCACAGAGGAACGGUGGAUGGAAUGCGGUGGGCGGAUAGACGUGCCAGAUGAAAUGGAUGACUUUUUGUGUGAAGACCAUUCUCCGAGAAGUUCGGGCUACAUGCAUUCAAGGAAGCAUUCUCGUUCAAGAUCACCAAGGAGACAAAGAACACAUUCUCGUUCAUCUCCUAGCCAGGAAUAUUACAUACACUUAAGAAAUCUAUCUUUUAAUGUGGAAAAGAGAGAUUUGAGAGAUUUUUUUCCUGAACUGGAUAUACACAGCAAACAGAUUAAGAUUCUAACAGAUAAGCAUCAGAAAAGGACUAGAGAUGCCUUUGUGGUGUUCAGGAGUGAGAGAGAAUAUCAGGCUGCUUUGGAAUGUCAUAGAAAGGUUCUUCUCAAUCGUCCUGUGUACAUUUUUCCAAUUUCAAGAAAGUCAAUGUUGAAAAUAAUUGACUCUUGUGAGAGGAAAAGAUCACCGGACAGAGAUCAUCUUGGACAGGCCAUAUCAGAAAAAAGUUACCGGGAAGGUCAUUCCAGCCCUAAGAAUUGUGUUUAUGUAAGGAAUUUUCCAUUUGAUGUGUCAAAAAUUGAAGUGCAGAAGUUCUUUUCAAGAUUUGAUAUUGACGAAGAUGAUAUUUACUUGCUUUAUGAUGAAAAAGGAGUUGGACUGGGAGAAGCACUAGUGAAGUUUAAAUCUGAAGAACAAGCUAUGAAAGCAGAAAAUUUAAACCGUCAAACAUUUUUGGGAACAGAAGUGUUAAUAAGACUUAUAUCUCAAGAUCAGAUGCAGAAGUUUGGUGUCGCUGCAUCAUUAUCUGCACCAAAUGAAAUGCAUGGUCAUUCACAUCCGUAUGACAGAGGUGACCUCUCCCGUCCAGUUGGUUCACCAUCUGGGCCACCACAAGGGCCACCCAUGCAUUCUUUUGGUCCCCCUGGGAACUUCAGGCAUCAUUCUGAAUUUAGACAUCCCCCUGAGGACUUCAUGUGCCCUCCUAAGGAUUUUAGGGGUCCACCACCCCUCAUGGAUUUUGGUGGUGACAGUGAACCUUUUGGCAGAAUGGAGUUUGGGAAUAAUAAAAUGGGAAAUUUUCCUGAAGGAAGAUUUAUGCCAGAUCCAAAUUUCAGUGGUGGUUCUGAACGUGUUGUUCCUAUUCUGUUGAAAAAUUUACCUUUUAAGGCUACUCCUAAUGAGAUUCUGGAUUUUUUCUAUGGCUAUAGAGUGAUACCGGAGUCAGUUUCUGUGCAGUACAAUGAACAAGGAUUACCUUCUGGUGAUGCCAUUGUUGCUAUGACAAACUAUGAGGAAGCUAUGGCUGCUAUUAAUGAACUGAAUGAUAGGCCCAUUGGUCCACGGAAAGUUAAGUUGAGUUUGCUGUAAAGGAGGAAAAGAUGCUCUAAUAACACAUUCUAGGUUUGACAGUAUUGACAGUUAUUUUAACUUUUAAUUACUGGAAGAUGCAAAACAGUUUCCAUCAACGGUUGUAAAUAAUACCCAGUUCAGUUGUUUAGCUCUUGGUUGAAAUACCUGUAGGACAUUGAAUGUCUUACAUCAAGGUAUAAAAGGAUGGAGUUGUAAUGCUUUGGGUUUUUUUUUUAGAUUAAUUCCAGUCUUAUGUCUUUGCAUCAAAUAAAAACAAUCAGAAGGGGCUGCCCUUUCUUCACUGACCUAUGGUGACUGCAUUAGUUGGGUGUUCCACCCCUUUUUUCUGCCAUAUGAUCCUCUUUUGCAGACACACUGCACAGCCAAUAAGCUGUGCUAACACACCAUUUGUAAGAUGGGAGUACAGAUUCUUUGCUCUCUGUAGCCAAAGUUGUUCACUGCUGCAACAUCACAGUUGAUCAAGAAUAAGAGAACCCCUGCAGGAGCCCAGCUGCUGUGUCCUAAUGUGGUAAAGCCUCUCUCAGACCUGAAAGCUGACCUGCACACAUCCUCAUAAGCAAAUGAACACAUUCCUGCUCCUAAUACGUUUUAAUGUGUUUUAAGUGUCAAUCUGACCUUUUUAAAUGUCAAUCACUUUAAUAUGCUAAUAGGCAGCAUUUGGUGCUUUUGCCAUGUGCAGAAUCAGACUGUACUGAGAUUUCAUAACUCUUCAGGCAAAGCCUUAAGUGUAGAAAACAGGUGUUACAAGAAGCUAAGUCACAGAAGAGUAUUUGGGAGAAGCUUAGAAAAGAAACAAGAAGAGAUUAACUAGGUGCCAGUGACAUACCCAUGAAAUGAAAUGAAAUGGGAAUUAGCUCGAGAGAGAAAAAUGGGACCAGUCUCCCUUUGGGAAAAAACCAGCUUAUUGUUAUAAGUUACUCCCUUAAUUCCAACAGAAGAUAACUUUGCAACACAACUCAAUUCUAACCCUGUGGCUGACAAAUGUCUGUUGUUAUUACAGGAGGAAUUCUAAUUAGUCAUGACUUAGUUUAACUGAUUUGAUUAAUAUUAAAUGAAAAUUCUCUGGCAAAGACAAAAAUAAAAUGUAGUUCUCCUGUGUUCAGUUUGACUCUUUCUACAGUCUCAUGCCCCAGUCACUACAAAGAUCCUGAACAUUCUGAAAAAGUUGAUAAAAUCCAACAAUGUAUAGGACUCCUUAACUCCCAAAUCCAACACUCAGAUGUAAUAAAAAGUAAACAGCACAUCAUGAACCUAGAUCCUGUAUCAUAAUAUGUAAGCAUAAAGGGACUGAAGUAGGAUUGCCUUGAUCCCAUUUAUUUUGGCAUUCCCUAGAUUCUGAUUGCUUCAAAAUUUAAAACUUCAGUGAGAUUUUAAUGGAAAUUCUAAUUCAGUUUGACAGAGGCUUAAUUUUUCUCGUUGUGAUAUAGAAUAGUAUACUGGGGAGGGUGACGGAUCUUUGGAAAGGAAGAGUAGUCUAGAUGAGUAUUCUACUAACAGAAUAACAACUUAUCCUUUCAUGCAGCUGGAGGAAACUCAUAUCCCAUCUAGAUACCAGGAAGCACAAUAACCAAAAUGGCAGGGAGAAAAACAGUAAAUCCACAGAAAUAAAAAAUAAAUUGUCUGAUUACACUUACUUUCAAAAGCUUCCAAAUUCCUGAUGUAAUCUAUGCCUACCUCUCUUGCAUAAACAUAUCAAAUAAUUUAUAGUUUCUUUUCAAUUCAAAAGUGAGUAACUACUGCUCUGUAGCAGCUGUAACUCUUCAUUAAGUUUAAGAAAAGAUUCAACAUUGGAAACAGUUUCUCUAAGCAGCAUUAGUGUUAUUACUACUUCCCAAGCAUAACAGUUUAAUUCCAAAGAAAUUCUAAAAAUAUUUCUCAUAGUGACUAGAAACGCAGGAUACAAUAACGUGUAGAUCUGAUGGAUUCCGCUGACGUGUCUUUUCCAGUUGAGAUAAUUGCUUGGCUUCUCGGCUCUUUGCUGUUAAAGUUGCUCUAAGAUCAUCCUGGAAAUAAAAUGUUUUAGACAGGUUUGAAAUACAUCUAGGAUAAUACAAAAUAUGCUUUCCUUCAUACAUGCAUUGCCUAGAAAACAUGGACAAAACUUCUGCUUCAAAUAAAACCAGAUUUUAGUGACCUGUUAAUUGAUCCUAUGAAAGAGAAGUCUAGUGGGGAUUGAGAGAGUUUAGCACCUUGUGCAACUCCCUAUAGCACAUGUUAUGAUUGAAAAUGUGGGGAAGGAAAGAAAGAUAUUCACAGCUUUACAUGAAAAGUAUAGCAGAUGGUCACAAGCUGAGAUCCCCAGAGCAUUAAGAAGGCAGACUCAUUCCUGACUUAGCAAUAGAAUAAAUGUGGUACUUAGAAAUAAAAAGAAGCAUCAAAUAAAAUGGCAUCAUUAAAAAAAACCAAAACAACAAAGCAGGCAGUAAUCAGUACCAAGGAGAAGUUAUGAAGAAAAUGUAACUGCUGUCACUGCUGACAGUGGAGCUGCUGAAGGGGCUGGAGCAGAAGUCUGAUGAGGAGUGGCUGAGGGAGCUGGGAGUGUUUAGCCUGGAGGAGGCUCAGGGGGAACCUGAGCUCUCUACAGCUCCCUGAAAGGAUGCUGUAGCCAGGUGCGGGUCAGUCUCUUCUCCCAGGCAACCAGUGACAGGAUGAGGACAUAUAAGCUGCACCAUUUAUUUUUAAAUGAAAUAUUAGGAUUUUUUUUUCCAUGGGAGGGGUGGUCAGGCAUUGGAAUAGGCUGCCCAUGGAACCGGUAGAAUCACCAUUCUGGAAGUGUUAGAAAAGGUGUCCCUGGCACCUGGGGACAUAGUUUACUGGUGAACAUGGGGGUGCCGGGCUAAUGGUUGGACUCAAUGAUUACAGAGGUCCUUUUCAACCUAAACAAUUCUGUGCUACAAGGUACCAUAGGAAUUCUAUGACUGAAAGGGUUAAACUGCGUAUUUAUACAUAUGCAUUUACUAAAGUGUUUAAAACCAUUUGAAACAAAAUACAUCCAAGUAAUGGUGGAGCUGGAGAAGAUAAAACUUAACCAAUACAGAAAAGGCAGAAACUGUUGACAACUGGUUUUGCUCCAUUUCCAAAGGAGAAGUAGUAUGUACUUCUAGGAAGACCUGUGACAAUUUAAGAAUGUUCAUCUACCAGUUUUCUCAAAUUUUCAUGCUAAAAAACUGUUUUGUAAACUGUUUGACAUUCAUGGAAUGUAAGAUUAUCAGUCAAGUAUUUAUCACUUCACUGAUGCUGGUAUGGAAAAGCUCAUUAAUUUUGAUGGUUCCAGUUUAAAGGAGCAGUAGUUUAGAACAAGCAGAAAUAUAGUCUAAAGUCUAACAAAAUCUGAGGUAGGAUUUGGCAUGCAUUUCAAAUGACCUUUUACUCUAAAAUACCACUUCCACUCUUAUUUACUACUCUAAAAUGGAGUUAGAGCUAUAAGAAACUAUCAUAUUGGGAAGUUGUCUGUGCUCCUUCCUUGGAUUUCAAUUUUAAUGCUUGUAUAUGUCACCAUGACAGAAGGAUAUGCAACUAAGAAUAUGUCUUUCAGUAAGUUUUGUGAUCCUGUGACCAGAUCACUACUCAGUGACAAGCACAAGAUUGCCAAGUUUCACAGUGCUAUGUUUCUUCAAUAAUGAGGCUGUACAUGAGGACAGGGUCAAAACAUGCAGUUUCUUACUUGUUUCUAUCCUUACUGUCUGUAUGUCCUUGUAUAUAACUGUCAUUUUGCUUCAUCUCCAGGGACACAGAGCUGGCUUCUGAUAAUAAAAACUACUUCAUCUUCAGCCCAUGAA